GGGGUUAUAGCUGGUAGAGUGCAUGCUUAGCAUGCAUGAGGUCCUGGGUUCAAUCCCCAGUACCUCCU
rnacentral:tRNA from 1 species